rnacentral:lncRNA from 1 species
UAAGUGGCGGCUCUUUCAACGGAUCCACUGUACUCACAAACACAUCUAUAGGAGCUAACUCAGAUGGCUUCCCCUCUUUCUCAUACCUAAAAUAAAAAACUUAGGUUAAAAUUUUUUAAACUAGAGAUGCAAGAAAGAUUAAUGGGAGUUGAAUAAAUAACAAUUUAUGUACCUUAGUGAUAAUCGAUCGAGGUAUGUUUCACGUUCAAUUGGGAACCAUUUUGGGAAUUGAUCAAAGAUCCAUGAAACAGCAAACCAUAUUUCACAAAUAACUGAAAUGAGCCACAAGGCGUAUGCAUCGUUCACAGGGUGGAGGAUUCUAUAGU